CCGCGGCCACUUAGGGAUGCAAAUGAGGCAUCGGGUUUCAGGCGGCCCCUCUCGCUUCCUUAAGUGAAGGGGUAAUGGAGAGCAGCCGCGGUCGGGUCGCGCGCAUCCAUCCUCGCCUCUUAAAUGCUAAUGAAAUUUCUUCGUUCUCUUCAUUAGCCCGCCGUCAUUAUCAGUAAUUUGUAGUCUUCCCCUUUUUUGUCCCCCCCCCCUCCUAUUCGCUGCCUUAAUGAAGGCAAGGUAUUGAGAGAAGGGCCCAGAGAGAGAGAUAUAGCGAGAGCGAGGAAGAGAGAAAGAAAGAGCAACCGCUCAAGGCAUUGUCUCAGCCUUCGGUCCGAAAUUACUCGUCGCCGGCUUCGAUGUGUGUGUGUAUGUGUGUUUGUGUGUGUGUUUAUCUCAGAACUCUAGAAAAAUGGUCUUCAGAAGUCUGCUUUUGUG
ensembl:lncRNA